rnacentral:tRNA from 1 species
UGGGGCAAUGGUAGCGCAUUUGACUCCAGAUCAGAAGGUUGUGUGUUCGAUUCACAU